rnacentral:rRNA from 1 species
AUGAACGCUAGCGACAGGCUUAACACAUGCAAGUCGAGGGGCAGCACAGGUAGCAAUACCGGGUGGCGACCGGCGCACGGGUGAGUAACGCGUAUGCAACUUACCUAUCAGAGGGGGAUAACCCGGCGAAAGUCGGACUAAUACCGCAUGAAGCAGGGGCCCCGCAUGGGGAUAUUUGCUAAAGAUUCAUCGCUGAUAGAUAGGCAUGCGUUCCAUUAGGCAGUUGGCGGGGUAACGGCCCACCAAACCGACGAUGGAUAGGGGUUCUGAGAGGAAGGUCCCCCACAUUGGUACUGAGACACGGACCAAACUCCUACGGGAGGCAGCAGUGAGGAAUAUUGGUCAAUGGGCGUAAGCCUGAACCAGCCAAGUCGCGUGAGGGAUGAAGGUUCUAUGGAUCGUAAACCUCUUUUAUAAGGGAAUAAAGUGUGGGACGUGUCCUGUUUUGUAUGUACCUUAUGAAUAAGGAUCGGCUAACUCCGUGCCAGCAGCCGCGGUAAUACGGAGGAUCCGAGCGUUAUCCGGAUUUAUUGGGUUUAAAGGGUGCGUAGGCGGCCUUUUAAGUCAGCGGUGAAAGUCUGUGGCUCAACCAUAGAAUUGCCGUUGAAACUGGGGGGCUUGAGUAUGUUUGAGGCAGGCGGAAUGCGUGGUGUAGCGGUGAAAUGCUUAGAUAUCACGAAGAACUCCGAUUGCGAAGGCAGCUCACUGGAGCGCAACUGACGCUGAAGCUCGAAAGUGCGGGUAUCGAACAGGAUUAGAUACCCUGGUAGUCCACGCCGUAAACGAUGAUUACUAGGUGUUGGUGGGUACGACCCAUCGGUGCCGCAGCAAACGCAAUAAGUAAUCCACCUGGGGAGUACGUUCGCAAGAAUGAAACUCAAAGGAAUUGACGGGGGCCCGCACAAGCGGUGGAGUAUGUGGUUUAAUUCGACGCAACGCGAAGAACCUUACCAGGUCUUGACAUUGAUCGCGAUCUGCAGAAAUGCGGAGUUCUUCUUCGGAAGACGAGAAAACAGGUGGUGCACGGCUGUCGUCAGCUCGUGUCGUGAGAUGUUGGGUUAAGUCCCGCAACGAGCGCAACCCUUAUUAUUAGUUGCUACGCAAGAGCACUCUAAUGAGACUGCCGUUGACAAAACGGAGGAAGGUGGGGAUGACGUCAAAUCAGCACGGCCCUUACAUCCGGGGCGACACACGUGUUACAAUGGCGUGGACAAAGGGAAGCCACCUGGCGACAGGGAGCGAAUCCCCAAACCACGUCUCAGUUCGGAUCGGAGUCUGCAACCCGACUCCGUGAAGCUGGAUUCGCUAGUAAUCGCGCAUCAGCCAUGGCGCGGUGAAUACGUUCCCGGGCCUUGUACACACCGCCCGUCAAGCCAUGGGAGCCGGGGGUACCUGAAGUCCGUAACCGAAAGGAUCGGCCUAGGGUAAAACUGGUGACUGGGGCU